GCCUCGAUAGUUCAAGGGAUAGAACACCGACCCGCUAAGUCGGAGGUUAUCGGAUCAAAGCCGAUUCGGGGCA
rnacentral:tRNA from 1 species